rnacentral:rRNA from 1 species
AGAGACAGCAGCCGCCGCGGGAAUACGGAGGAUCCAAGCGUUAUCCGGAAUCAUUGGGUUUAAAGGGUCCGUAGGCGGUCUUGUAAGUCAGUGGUGAAAGCCCAUCGCUCAACGGUGGAACGGCCAUUGAUACUGCAGGACUUGAAUUAUUGGGAAGUAACUAGAAUAUGUAGUGUAGCGGUGAAAUGCUUAGAGAUUACAUGGAAUACCAAUUGCGAAGGCAGGUUACUACCAAUUGAUUGACGCUGAUGGACGAAAGCGUGGGUAGCGAACAGGAUUAGAUACCCGGGUAGUCCCUGUCUCUUAUAC